rnacentral:rRNA from 1 species
CCUACGGGCGGCAGCAGUGGGGAAUAUUGCACAACGGGCGCAAGCCUGAUGCAGCCAUGCCGCGUGUGUGAAGAAGGCCUUCGGGUUGUAAAGCACUUUCAGCGAGGAGGAAGGUGGUGAGCUUAAUACGCUCAUCAAUUGACGUUACUCGCAGAAGAAGCACCGGCUAACUCCGUGCCAGCAGCCGCGGUAAUGCGGAGGGUGCAAGCGUUAAUCGGAAUUACUGGGCGUAAAGCGCACGCAGGCGGUUCGUUAAGUCUGAUGUGAAAUCCCCGGGCUCAACCUGGGAACUGCAUUUGAAACUGGCAAGCUAGAGUCUCGUAGAGGGGGGUAGAAUUCCAGGUGUAGCGGUGAAAUGCGUAGAGAUCUGGAGGAAUACCGGUGGCGAAGGCGGCCCCCUGGACGAAGACUGACGCUCAGGUGCGAAAGCGUGGGGAGCAAACAGGAUUAGAUACCCGAGUAGUC